rnacentral:rRNA from 1 species
UAUGGCUCAGGAUGAACGCUAGCUACAGGCUAACACAUGCAAGUCGAGGGGCGAGCGGGGAUCUAGCUUGCUAGAUCUGCCGGGCGACCGGCGCACGGGUGCGUAAUGCGUAUCCAACCUGCCGUGUACUCGGGGAUAGCCCUCUGAAAGGAGGAUUAAUACCCGAUGUGGUUGUUUGAAGACAUCUUCUUACAAUUAAAGAUUUAUCGGUACACCGAUGGGGAUGCGUAUGAUUAGGUAGUAGGCGGGGUAACGGCCCACCUAGCCGACGAUCAUUAGGGGUUCUGAGAGGAAGGUCCCCCACAUAGGAACUGAGACACGGUCCUAACUCCUACGGGAGGCAGCAGUGAGGAAUAUUGGUCAAUGGGCGAGAGCCUGAACCAGCCAAGUAGCGUGGAAAAGGAAGACUGCCCUAUGGGUUGUAAACUUCUUUUAUGAGGGAAUAAAGUUCGUCACGUGUGGCGUUUUGUAUGUACCUCAUGAAUAAGCAUCGGCUAAUUCCGUGCCAGCAGCGGC